rnacentral:rRNA from 1 species
UGGGGAAUUUUGGACAAUGGGCGCAAGCCUGAUCCAGCAAUGCCGCGUGUGUGAAGAAGGCCUUCGGGUUGUAAAGCACUUUUGUCCGGAAAGAAAUCCGUCUGGCUAAUACCCGGACGGGAUGACGGUACCGGAAGAAUAAGCACCGGCUAACUACGUGCCAGCAGCCGCGGUAAUACGUAGGGUGCGAGCGUUAAUCGGAAUUACUGGGCGUAAAGCGUGCGCAGGCGGCUUUGUAAGACAGAUGUGAAAUCCCCGGGCUCAACCUGGGAACUGCAUUUGUGACUGCAAGGCUAGAGUGCGUCAGAGGGAGGUGGAAUUCCGCGUGUAGCAGU